GAGCACGUAGGUGGGUUUGUAAGUCAGAUGUGAAAGCCUUCUGUUCAACGGAAGAAUUGCAUCUGAAACUGCGAGUCUUGAGUGUAGGAGGGGAGAAUGGAACUUCUGGUGGAGCGGUGAAAUGCGUAGAUAUCAGAAGGAACGCCGGCGGCGAAAGCGAUUCUCUGGCCUAUUACUGACACUCAGUGUGCGAAAGCUAGGGGAGCAAACGGGAUUAGAUACCCCGGUAGUCCUAGCCGUAAACGAUGGGCACUAAGUAGAGGGAAUUACCGAUGUUCUCUCUGCCGUAGCUAACGCAUUAAGUGCCCCGCCUGGGGAGUACGGCCGCAAGGCUAAAACUCAAAAGAAUUGACGGGGGCUCGCGCAAGCGGUGGAGCAUGUGGCUUAAUUCGAUGCAACGCGAAGAACCUUACCGGGGCUUGACAUGGUAGAAGUAGGAACCCGAAAGGGUGACGAACGGUAUCCAGUCCGUAACUAUCACAGGUGUUGCAUGGCUGUCGUCAGCUCGUGUCGUGAGACGUUGGGUUAAGUCCCCUAACGAGCGAAACCCUUGUUUUUAGUUACCAGCGGGUUGUGCCGGGUACUCUAGAAAGACUGCCGUCGUCAAGACGGAGGAAGGUGGGGAUGACGUCAAGUCCUCAUGGCCCUUAUGCCCCGGGCUGCACACGUGCUACAAUGGUCGGUACAAACGGAAGCGAAGCCGAGAGGUGAAGCGAAUCC
rnacentral:rRNA from 1 species